UACUUACAAACGUACAAACUUGAAUGUUAAAUUGAAAAAGACCGUAUUCAUCUUACUUGUGAAGGUGCUACGCUUUCAUGAGAGCCAUGAAAGACCAGGGGAAUGUCAGGAGCAGAGAUCUGCAACUCCCACAGUACACCUCGCUCAAGCACAUAGGAUCUCUCAAGUUUCUUCUACUACACAUGUAAAAAAGGCAAGCACACUGAGCCCUGUGACAAGGGCUGCACCUGGAGCAUGUAAUUCAGCACUGAGGGAGGAGCUGUGCUAGGCAACACUUGUGGAAUUUUAUUUGAUGGAAUCACUCCUAAUAAAAGUUCAGGUGUGACACA
rnacentral:lncRNA from 1 species